GAGGAUAUAGCUCAGUGGUAGAGUGCCGUGCUUAGAGUGCACAAGGUUCUGGGUUCAAUCCCCGGUACCUCA
rnacentral:tRNA from 1 species